GGGGGCCCCCGGGGCCCCCCCCGGGCCCCCCCGGAGUUCCAGGCAUCGAUGGCAUCGACGGUGACCGAGGUCCCAAGGGCCCCCCGGGGCCCCCCCGGUAAGUUGAUGAGCGCAUCCGCUCUUCGCUUCUCUUCUUUAGACGCGGUUCGCAGCCCCGUGAGUCCCUAGAGUCUCAGUGUCGCCUCUUUCUCUGUCUCCCGACCUCGCCCCCUCCCCGCCCAGGGUCCUGCUGGAGAACCGGGCAAGCCAGGAGCUCCGGGCAAGCCGGGCACGCCGGGCGCCGACGUGAGUAGGCGGGGCGGGGCGGGGCGGGGCGGGGGCUCUGCGGGAGGGGCGAGGGGUGCAGGCCGCGGGAGCCGGGCUGCCCGCG
rnacentral:lncRNA from 1 species